ACCCCGGUAGUCCACGCCGUAAACGAUGGAUACUAGCUGUCGGGCUUUCGGGCUCGGUGGCCAAGCGAAAGUGAUAAGUAUCCCACCUGGGGAGUACGUUCGCAAGAAUGAAACUCAAAGGAAUUGACGGGGGCCCGCACAAGCGGUGGAGCAUGUGGUUUAAUUCGAUGAUACGCGAGGAACCUUACCAGGGCUUAAAUGUAGUGGGACAGGCUUAGAGAUAGGCUUUUCUUCGGACUCAUUACAAGGUGCUGCAUGGUUGUCGUCAGCUCGUGCCGUGAGGUGUCAGGUUAAGUCCUAUAACGAGCGCAACCCCUGCCGUUAGUUGCCAGCAAGUAAAGUUGGGGACUCUAACGGGACUGCCGGUGCAAACCGUGAGGAAGGUGGGGAUGACGUCAAAUCAUCACGGCCCUUACGUCCUGGGCUACACACGUGCUACAAUGGCCGGUACAAUGAGCAGCCACUGCGUAAGCAGGAGCGAAUCUAUAAAACCGGUCACAGUUCGGAUCGGGGUCUGCAACUCGACCCCGUGAAGCUGGAAUCGCUAGUAAUCGGAUAUCAGCCAUGAUCCGGUGAAUACGUUCCCGGGCCUUGUACACACCGCCCGUCAAGCCAUGGAAGCCGGGGGUACCUGAAGUCUGUCACCGCAAGGAGCGGCCUAGGGUAA
rnacentral:rRNA from 1 species